rnacentral:rRNA from 1 species
CGAGCGCGGGAAGCGAGCUGAUCCCUUCGGGGUGACGCUCGUGGAACGAGCGGCGGACGGGUGAGUAACACGUGGGCAACCUGCCUGUAAGAUCGGGAUAACUCCGGGAAACCGGGGCUAAUACCGGGUAAUACUUUCUUUCGCAUGAAGGAAAGUUGAAAGAUGGCUUCUCGCUAUCACUUACAGAUGGGCCCGCGGCGCAUUAGCUAGUUGGUGAGGUAACGGCUCACCANGGCGACGAUGCGUAGCCGACCUGAGAGGGUGAUCGGCCACACUGGGACUGAGACACGGCCCAGACUCCUACGGGAGGCAGCAGUAGGGAAUCUUCCGCAAUGGACGAAAGUCUGACGGAGCAACGCCGCGUGAACGAUGAAGGUCUUCGGAUCGUAAAGUUCUGUUGUUAGGGAAGAACAAGUACCGUGCGAAUAGAGCGGUACCUUGACGGUACCUAACGAGGAAGCCCCGGCUAACUACGUGCCAGCAGCCGCGGUAAUACGUAGGGGGCAAGCGUUGUCCGGAAUUAUUGGGCGUAAAGCGCGCGCAGGCGGUUCCUUAAGUCUGAUGUGAAAGCCCACGGCUCACCCGUGGAGGGUCAUUGGAAACUGGGGAACUUGAGGACAGAAGAGGAGAGUGGAAUUCCACGUGUAGCGGUGAAAUGCGUAUAUAUGUGGAGGAACACCAGUGGCGAAGGCGACUCUCUGGUCUGUUUCUGACGCUGAGGUGCGAAAGCGUGGGUAGCAAACAGGAUUAGAUACCCUGGUAGUCCACGCCGUAAACGAUGAGUGCUAGGUGUUAGGGGGCUUCCACCCCUUAGUGCUGAAGUA